GCAUCAAUCUAAUAUUGUUUGCAGAUGGCAUCACAGAGUAGCAAGCAGACAAGCAUCGAGUCUGGGGGGUCCCGCUUCAUCUUUGACUGGAAUCCCAAGCACAAGCAGGGAACGAACUAGCAGCGGCAGCCGAGGUGGGCAUGAGGGCCUGCACCUUUUAUGUACAGCCGUUGAAUUCAGAGAGGAGAGACAACCUUCCGUGGAAGAUCAGACUGAUGACCCGGAGAUUAGUGCAACAGAUGGGAUCCUCCAGGACCAAGCAUCAGGGCUUGACAGCCCAGGCCCAGCUUGGCAUCAAAACUUUG